GCGAGGAGAGCUUCGGCGGGGGCGGUGGCUGGCUCUGUCCGCCAUCACACCGAACCAACCAUCUCGUCGCUUCGUCCUAUACGCGCAGUCCCCGAUUCCGUCUCUGUACGCGUGUUGUUAGUCGGGAGGUAGAAUCCCGGUUGCCCACCAGUGCCUACUUUAAUACACUCCCUGCCAUGCCCUAGCACCGGUGUCACCGCGGGCGCGUUCCUCUUCUUUCUUCCUUUUUCUAUUCUCUUCGUAUUAUACAUAAAAACAAACGAGAGGUGGCAAAGUGUAAACCGAACGAGCAAGGAAGCGUGCAGUCACAAAACUGAAUUGAAGAAAGGAAUAUAAAAAUAUAUCGAGAAUAAGAACUCGCCAUCGUCGUCACCUGCCCACCGAAGAGGAGGAAGAAGAAGAGAAAGAAGAAGAAGAAGAAUAAUAAAAAGAAGGAGAAGAAGACGAACAAUUAAUUCCCUUUGUACCGAGGACGCCGCAGACCGCUGCGAUCCAUGAACGAAGAGCCGUUAACGCUACGCUACGUCACCUUUGUCAGCUUCUAUCUCUUCUUUGGUUUUUCAUCUUCGGUUACGUCGCGGGCGUUGUUAUACUCCGCGGUGUUCUAGCCGAGGGAAAGUCCGUCGUGAUAAUCAUUUGUAAGUGAACGCUUCUGUGAGUGCGCGAAUUUCGAGUUUGGCGGUUCCGAGGAGGGAAACGGAGAA
rnacentral:lncRNA from 1 species